rnacentral:misc_RNA from 1 species
UUGAUUGAUAGUGCUGCUGCCGAAUGCAUGGGUGAGAUGGUGGAACUACCUCCUCGAGUUGAGGCUAGGGAAGCAAAAGAGCCAAGUGUUUCAACAAUGUUGAUGAACUUCAGUAAUGAUUUUGAUCCUUAUGGUGCCUUAAGUACCCCCUUGUAUCAAACAUCUACUUUUAAGCAACCUUCAGCGACCGAAAAUGGGCAAUAUGAUUAUACACGGAGUGGAAAUCCAACAAGGGAUGCGUUGGAAAAGCUUCUUGCAGAGCUUGAGAAAGCAGAUCGAGCAUUUUGCUUUACCAGUGGAAUGGCCGCCUUGGCAGCUGUAACUCGUCUCGUCAAAGCUGGUGAGGAGAUUGUUGCCGGGGAUGACAUAUAUGGUGGUUCUGAUCGGCUGCUCUCACAAGUUGUUCCAAAAGCCGGGAUCGUGGUCAAGCGAGUGGAUACCACUAAUUUAGAUGAGGUUGCUUCUGUGAUUAAACCACGGACAAAGCUUGUUUGGCUGGAAAGCCCAACCAACCCUCGUCAACAAAUUUGUGAUAUUCGUAAAAUAGCCAAGAUCGCUCAUGCACAUGGGGCUCUUGUGCUGGUAGAUAACAGCAUUAUGUCCCCAGUACUGUCCCAUCCUUUGGAGCUCGGAGCAGAUAUUGUGAUGCAUUCUGCUACUAAGUUCAUAUCCGGUCAUAGUGAUCUCAUGGCUGGUGUACUUGCCGUCAGAGGAGAAAGCUUAGCGAAAGAGGUGUACUUCCUACAAAAUGCUGAAGGUGCUGGGUUAGCGCCAUUUGAUUGUUGGCUUUGUUUAAGAGGAAUCAAAACAAUGGCUCUUCGUGUUGAAAAACAACAGGAGAAUGCACAAAAAAUUGCUGAAUUUUUAUCUUCCCAUCCACGAGUGAAAAAGGUCAACUAUGCAGGUCUUCCUAACCAUCCUGGGAGGUCUUUGCACUUCUCUCAGGCUACGGGUGCAGGAUCGGUGCUGAGUUUCCUGACAGGUUCUUUGGCACUCUCUAAGCAUGUUGCUGAGGCUACCAAGUAUUUCAGUAUUACUGUCAGUUUUGGAAGUGUCAAGUCACUCAUAAGCUUGCCUUGCUUCAUGUCCCAUGCGAGCAUACCUGUUGAAGUACGAGAAGCUAGAGGUCUUACUGAGGACCUGGUUCGAAUAUCUGUUGGUAUUGAAGAUGUCAACGACUUGAUAGAUGAUUUAGACUAUGCACUCAAGACUGGGCCUGCAUAGAAGAUUAAGCAAGUUUGUGGAAUUGAUCCCAAGCUUAUGUGCACUUUCUAUUGUAGCGCUUGUCGCGUCGUUUAAUUCAUCUCAAGGGUUUAUUUGAUUUUUGCAAGUUGGUUCAAAAUGAACUUGAUUUUGAG